rnacentral:rRNA from 1 species
CGUUCGUCCGACGUGCGAAUAGGGGCGAAAGACCAAUCGAACCUCCUAGUAGCUGGUUUCCGCCGAAAUUUCCCUCAGGAUAGCGGCCAUCGCGGAAACGUUUUGACCGGUAGAGCGAACGACUAGAGGUACCGGGGCCGUAACGGCCUCGACCUAUUCUCGAACUCCGAACGGGCAAGGAGCCGGGGUCGCCCGAUCGGACCCCGGACGUGAAGUCGACGAUGGUCGGUGGGCUGGUUUUGGUAAGCAGAACGGGCGAUUCGGGGAUGAACCGGAAGCGGGGAGAAAGGGCCCCGAGAUUGCGUCGACGCGGAUCCCGAAAAGGGCGUCGAUCCGUCGCGACAGCGGGACGGUGGUCAUGGAAGUCGAAAUCCGCUAAGAAGCGUGUAAAACGUACCGCCCAACGGAUCGGCCCCGAAAAUUGAUGGCGCUCGAACGCAACCCUCG